GGCGUGGAGGUGGUGGUGGUGGCGGCCGUGGCAUGGGUAGUGGAUACGAGAAUGGGCGUGGAGGUGGUGGUGGUGGCUGUGGCAUGGGCAGCGGAUACGAAAAUGGGUGUGGAGGUGGUGGUGGAUACCAGAAUGACCGGGGUUGUGGUGGCGGAUACCAGAAUGGCCGGGAUGGUGGUGGCAGCAGCGGGUACCAGAACAACCGGGGUGGUGGUGGCGGUGGUGGGUACCAGAACAGCCGGGGUGGUGGUGGCACCGGUGGGUACCAGAAUAGCCGGGGUGGUGGUGGUGGCGGCGGGUACUACAACAACGACGAUGGGUACUACCAGCCGAGGAACUUGAACAACAGGGGCAGGGGCGCAGGGAGGUGGCCACGCGGACACCGAGAGGAUUGAGGCAAUGGCAUAUGUGGAAGUCUGGGAGGUCAGGAGAGGGAAGGGGCAAUGUGGAAGUCUGGGAGCCAUUUUGUUAUUAUAGAACUACGGAGUAUGUAAUAACCUAGCCUGUGGGUAUGUCGCAAUCCAGUCCCUCCCCAUCUGCGAGUUUUUUUGUUGCUCCAAUGAGUGCAUAAUGGUUGGUUGGUAAAUGUGGAAUCUCGUUGAAAGUAGCUUCAGGUCAUACAUGUGUUGCUUCUUUUUCUGGCUGUGUGAGUUGUCAUAUAUUUCCGGUUGGUUUAUUAUUUUUGUUAGAUGUCUUUCUACGUCAUUCCUGUUCAUUUUCCAGCGUUUGUGUUUGUGUUACCUUUGUUUGUUCUGGCCUGUAUCGUAGCUCUUCAAAAAAAGAAAAAAAAUACUGUUUGUUUCGGUGAA
rnacentral:lncRNA from 1 species